rnacentral:rRNA from 1 species
UCUCGAUGGUAGUGUAUUGGACUACCAUGGCAAUGACGGGUGACGGAGAAUUAGGGUUCGAUUCCGGAGAGGGAGCCUGAGAAACGGCUACCACAUCUAAGGAAGGCAGCAGGCGCGCAAAUUACCCAAUCCUAACUCAGGGAGGUAGUGACAAGAAAUAACAACGCGGGGCUAUGUCUCGCGAUUGGAAUGAGAACAAUGUAAAAGCCUUAACGAGGAUCCACUGGAGGGCAAGUCUGGUGCCAGCAGCCGCGGUAAUACCAGCUCCAGUAGCGUAUAUUAAAGUUGUUGCAGUUAAAAAGCUCGUAGUUGAAAUUCUGUACGGAACGACGUCUUCGGAUGAUCGAGCCGUGCAUCCGCCUGAGCAGCAUGCUGGUACUUUGUUGCCGGUAUGUGAUCAGGCACUUUACCUUGAGCAAAUUAGAGUGUUCCAGGCAGGCGUCAGCCUGAAUAGUCCAGCAUGGAAUAAUAGAAGAGGACUGAAAACCACUGUUGGUGUUGUGGUAAUCAGUAAUGAUUAAUAGGGAUAGUUGGGGGCAUUCGUAUUUAAUUGUCAGAGGUGAAAUUCUAUGAUUUAUUAAAGACGAACCUAUGCGAAAGCAUUUGCCAAGGAUGUUUUCAUUAAUCAAGAACGAAAGUUAAGGGAUCAAAGACGAUCAGAUACCGUC